AGAGAGUGCAAGCGUUAAUCGGAAUUACUGGGCGUAAAGCGCGCGUAGGUGGAUACUUUAGUCGGAUGUGAAAGCCCUGGGCUUAACCUAGGAACUGCAUCCGAUACUGGGUAUCUUGAGUAUGGUAGAGGGAAGUGGAAUUUCCGGUGUAGCGGUGAAAUGCGUAGAUAUCGGAAAGAACACCAGUGGCGAAGGCGGCUUCCUGGACCAAUACUGACACUGAGGUGCGAAAGCGUGGGGAGCAAACAGGGAUUAGAGACCCUGGUAGUCCACGCUGUCAACGAUGAGAACUAGACGUUGGAGGGGUAACCCCUUUAGUGUCGAAGCUAACGCGUUAAGUUCUCCGCCUGGGGGAGUACGGCCGCAAGGUUA
rnacentral:rRNA from 1 species